rnacentral:lncRNA from 1 species
CCUCCUAUUAUCCACUCUCUCAUAUCAAUAUGAUAACAACCACGACAUCAAUUUCGGUACCCUGUGUAAUUCACAAACAUACAAGCACAAUCCAAACCCUGGAACGAACAACUUUCAAUCCACAGAAUCUGAUCGAGACAAUUCCUUCUAUUAUAAUUCCUCUCCACUGAACUUACAACCUUACAAUAAACAAUGGCUGGAAACUUCCAAACAUCAUCAAUCUUUCACAACAAUUGAUAAAAAAUGAUCCAUAAAUAACUUUGUAAAUCAAAUAUUGAUUCAUUAAAUCGAUUCUCUUCACUAGAAUCAACACUAAUACAAAAGAAACAAAAAAACUAAGAAGAAGAGAUAGCACCAAGCUUAUCCCCAACUCAGUACUA